CAGAUGCCUAAGGCUCACGGACAACGGACGCCGCCACAAACCUUGUGGCUCGAACACAACAAUAUUUACGGAGUUAUCGCACAUAGUCGAGAGCGUCGGGGCCCGCAUACCGUAAACUGGCGAGUCAAGUAGCCGGAGCGCUUGGGUUUGGCGAUUAGCUCCAAAGCACCUGCAUUCUGGACUAAAAAUAAUUGAAAUCUCAGCCUACAUUGCUGCUGGGAUAUUUAAUGAAGGCUAUGCCUCCAUUCUCAGAGUUAUGAACAAAUUAAAUAUAAUUGUUGGCACCUACUCCAAAGUUUUCGCUGAAAACACCGAUGAGGCGCGAGUAGCGAGACAGAACCAGAUGAGUCUUUUUGAGGCAAAAGCAGCUCGUACAGCCCGAAAACAGCAGCAGAUCGAAGAUAACCAGCUUUUCGAGGAAGCUGAAGGCUUAUUAUAUGCGCCUGGAAUCGCUGAUUGAUCGAUCAAUAGAAAAAAUAUGACAAAUGCAGCACUUUUCGAUGCCACGCAAAAGACACCUAAAGGAAUACCCUAAGAAGCCGCCAUUUUGUUUUAUAAAAAAAAAAUAAAUAUGUUUUCUAUACUU